UGGGGAAUAUUGGACAAUGGGCGCAAGCCUGAUCCAGCCAUGCCGCGUGAGUGACGAAGGCCUUAGGGUUGUAAAGCUCUUUUGGCGGGGACGAUAAUGACGGUACCCGCAGAAUAAGCCCCGGCUAACUUCGUGCCAGCAGCCGCGGUAAUACGAAGGGGGCUAGCGUUGUUCGGAAUUACUGGGCGUAAAGCGCACGUAGGCGGAUAUGCCAGUCAGGGGUGAAAUCCCGAGGCUCAACCUCGGAACUGCCUCCGAUACAGCAUGUCUCGAGUCCGGAAGAGGUGAGUGGAAUUCCUAGUGUAGAGGUGAAAUUCGUAGAUAUUAGGAAGAACACCAGUGGCGAAGGCGGCUCACUGGUCCGGUACUGACGCUGAGGUGCGAAAGCGUGGGGGGCAAACAGGAUUAGAUACCCCCGUAGUCCCUGAGCGGGCUGGCAAGGCGCAU
rnacentral:rRNA from 1 species